rnacentral:rRNA from 1 species
UGAUCUGCUUACGUACUCGUUAGGGCGAUUGGAGUUCCAGUACAAUGCUCCCGGUCGCCGCUGGCCUGGGCUUUACCUUGUUACCACUUCUGAGCUAGGCAUGCGUGCCUAAUUACUGACUGCGGACGCCUGCAGCUCCUUCGGGAGUACACAGAGCGGCGGACGGCUGAAUAACACGUAGGAACAUACCCCNNACUGAGGGAUAACUGGCUCGAAAGAGUAGCUAAUACCGCAUGUGAUCUUCGGAUUANAGCUACGGCGGUUUGGGAAUGGCCUGCGNAAGAUUAGCUUGUUGGUAAGNUAAUGGCUUACCAAGGCGAUGAUCUUUAGCUGNUCUNANAAGAUGNUNNGCCAGACUGGNAACUGAGAACGGCCNCAACUCCUNCGGGAAGCAGCAGUAGAGGAAUUUUCACAAGGNGGGCAACCCUNAUGGAAGANNCGCCCCNGGCGAGAUGAAUGCUUCCCGANUGUUAACUGCCUUGAUCUGUGACGAGUAUGNCGGUAGCAGGUGACAUGGGACGGGCUGGCUACCGACGGCANGCGUGGUGAUACGUGAGGCCCGAUCGUGUGCGGGUUUUCGUGGCGGGAGGAGUUGCCGAGGUGGGCAUGGGGAGCACACAUGGGAAGUAGCGCGGCCGGGAGGAUGUGCGCGAUGGUGUGACCGCCUGGGCUUGGGGAACAAGAGAUGGACGCUGAUAUCCGGGGUGGGGGGGGGGAGUGGCCGGAGGCGUAGGCGCGACGGGGUGGCGCUGGGCGGGGGGGGCGCGUGUGGCGGGAGGUCGGGCGCGAGUGGCGGUGGAGGCAGGGUUCGUCGAGUGGGGGGCAAGGGCUCGGUGGGGUGGGGGGAGAGGGGAGGGAGGGACGGAGAGAGGUGCGCGGGGCCGCGGGGGAGGUGAGAGUGG